rnacentral:rRNA from 1 species
ACAAGGUUUCCGUAGGUCAAGUUUUGCCUGCAACAGCGGUCCCCACCGACUGCUAGUGUCCCCACCGGGAUGCAACACGCUCAAUUUGCGGAAAGGCCCUUUCGGGGGAAAUCCGCAGCCAACCUCCUUACCCGGGGAUCGGUUCAGAGACUCGAUGAGUGUGGGUCUGGCCUCCGCCAGAUCUGAGAUAGAGCCCACCCCUGCUGGCAACUUCAGGGAAGCAAGUGGAACCUGCGGAAGGAUCAUUAGAGAAUAACACGGCCUCCGGGUCCUAUUCUCACCCUUUGUAUACUUAACUUUGUUGCUUUGGCGGAAACGUCAGAGGACCGAAACCCUUGAAUCUCUGCUGUCUGAGUACUAUAUAAUAGUUAAAACUUUCAACAACGGAUCUCUUGGUUCUGGCAUCGAUGAAGAACGCAGCGAAAUGCGAUAAGUAAUGUGAAUUGCAGAAUUCAGUGAAUCAUCGAAUCUUUGAACGCACAUUGCGCCCCUUGGUAUUCCGGGGGGCAUGCCUGUUCGAGCGUCAUUAUAACCCCUCAAGCUCAGCUUGGUGUUGGGGCGCGCCUUUGGGCGGCCCCUAAAAUCAGUGGCGGUGCCGUCUGGCUCUAAGCGUAGUAAUUAUUCUCGCUAUAGCGCCCGGCGGUGGCCUGCCAGAACCCCUAACUUCUAUGGUUGACCUCGGAUCAGGUAGGGAUACCCGCUGAACUUAAGCAUAUCAAUAAGCGGAGGA